UAUAAUUCAAGAAACUACAAGAGAAACCAUCUUAAGGCAAGAUGGUUUCUUAGCCGCAAUCUUAGCCGCAAGAGCGCUGUGUAGUGAUGCUCGGUGUUUCAAACUGUUCUUUCUCUCUCGACUCUAGUAACAUGAGAUUUAUCAAGCUGCUAAAAUGCAGAGACUUGGAAAGGUCGGCUUUCCUCCAUAUACUUUUCCAAGUCAGGCGGACAGAAUUCUUCAGCAGUACUUCAAUGAAUGAGAUGCUGGCAGAAGCCUGUACAUCCCUGAGUCUUGAAAGUCAGAUGAUGGUUGUAUGAAUCCCAUUCUGCUCUUAGGUCUGUAAGGGUACCCAUAGGCAAUACAAGAUGACUCCAGUUCAUACUGUCCCUGGUUCUUGCAUUGCUGCACUAGAUUUAAAUAAUAAUAAUAAAUUACAACAGAAUCUAUUUAUAGACAAAGUUUCUAGUCCUCCCCUUGCAGCUCAGAAAAAAAAAUGUCCCCAGUGCAAGCAGAAAGAAGGAAGUAUGUUCCACCUAUGACUUGAAGAAGUAACACAGUGCUAUGGAAAAUAAAAUUUACAGUUGCAGCUUCACUUCCUGUUUUCUCCUGCUGCAGAGGGAGUGCCUUCUGGAUUUAGGGAGACAAUUAGGAAUUAGGUAAUCAUAGUGAUUACCGUAUCUUCUUUGCCAAAUCUCCACCAUGACCUGAGUUCCAGGGCCUGGCUCAUGGGCCUGUUGAAUUUAAGAAAGCCAAACAUUUCCUUGCAAUGACUUCCUUCCAUGCUCAUGUAUCCCCAACAGCAGAACUUCUUGUCAAGCUCUUCAUGUGUUUGAAGUGCAGUACUCCUAAAAGCAGGUGGAUCUGGAUUUUAGAAAUAAUUAAAAUCUUGUGGUGACUGAAAAGGUUUCCUCCAUUGGCCUCAUGGGCACUUGCAAAGGUGAAGCUUUCCUGCAGAGCAGCUUCACUUUCUGUCCAAGGGG